UACGUAGGGUGCGAGCGUUGUCCGGAAUUAUUGGGCGUAAAGGGCUCGUAGGCGGUCUGUUGCGUCAGGAGUGAAACUCGGGGCUUAACCCCGAGCCUGCUUCUGAUACGGGCAGACUAGAGGUAUGCAGGGGAGAACGGAAUUCCUGGUGUAGCGGUGAAAUGCGCAGAUAUCAGGAGGAACACCGGUGGCGAAGGCGGAUCUCUGGGCCUUACCUGACGCUCAGGUGCGAAAGCUAGGGGAGCGAACAGG
rnacentral:rRNA from 1 species